AUUGAACGCUGGCGGCAUGCCUUACACAUGCAAGUUGAACGGCAGCACGGGAGCAAUCCUGGUGGCGAGUGGCGAACGGGUGAGUAAUAUAUCGGAACGUGCCCAGUAGUGGGGGAUAACUGCUCGAAAGAGCAGCUAAUACCGCAUACGACCUGAGGGUGAAAGGGGGGGAUCGCAAGACCUCUCGCUAUUGGAGCGGCCGAUAUCAGAUUAGCUAGUUGGUGGGGUAAAGGCCUACCAAGGCAACGAUCUGUAGUUGGUCUGAGAGGACGACCAGCCACACUGGGACUGAGACACGGCCCAGACUCCUACGGGAGGCAGCAGUGGGGAAUCUUGGACAAUGGGCGCAAGCCUGAUCCAGCAAUGCCGCGUGCAGGAAGAAGGCCUUCGGGUUGUAAACUGCUUUUGUCAGGGAAGAAAUCCUCUAGGUUAAUACCCUUGGGGGGAUGACGGUACCUGAAGAAUAAGCACCGGCUAACUACUUGCCAGCCGCCGCCGUAACAC
rnacentral:rRNA from 1 species